UACGUAGGGGGCAAGCGUUGUCCGGAUUUAUUGGGCGUAAAGAGCGUGUAGGCGGUCAGGUAGGUCCGUUGUGAAAACUCGAGGCUUAACCUCGAGAUGUCGGCGGAAACCAUCUGGCUAGAGUCCGGAAGAGGAGAGUGGAAUUCCUGGUGUAGCGGUGAAAUGCGCAGAUAUCAGGAAGAACACCCGUGGCGAAGGCGGCUCUCUGGGACGGUACUGACGCUGAGACGCGAAAGCGUGGGGAGCGAACAGG
rnacentral:rRNA from 1 species